rnacentral:rRNA from 1 species
UACAGGACGAACGCUGGCGGCGUGCUUAAUACAUGCAAGUCAACUUGACUUUAGAUAGCAAUAUCGAAAAGUAGGGUGGCGCACGGGUGCGUAACGCGUAGGUAAUCUGCCCUGAGGUCUGACAUAACCCGUCGAAAGGCGGGCUAACAUCAGAUGAUAUAUAAUCACGACAUCGUGGAAAUAUCAAAUCUUCGGAGCCUUGGGAUGAGCCUGCGUCUGAUUAGGUAGUUGGCGGAGUAAUAGCCCACCAAGCCUACGAUCAGUAGCUGGUCUGAGAGGAUGAUCAGCCACACUGGAACUGAGACACGGUCCAGACUCCUACGGGAGGCAGCAGUAAGGAAUAUUGCUCAAUGGGGGAAACCCUGAAGCAGCAACGCCGCGUGAAGGAUGAAAUACUUUGUAUGUAAACUUCUGUAAGAUGGGAAAAAUAUUCUCCUCGGGAGAAUUGAUUGUACCAUCAGAGUAAGCCCCGGCUAACUACGUG